UGGGGGAUAUUGCACAAUGGGCGCAAGCCUGAUGCAGCGACGCCGCGUGGGGGAUGAAGGCCUUCGGGUUGUAAACUUCUUUUGCUCUGAACAAGGCGCACUUUGGGGUGUGUUGAGUGUAGGGGUUGAUUAGCGCCGGCUAACUACGUGCCAGCAGCCGCGGUAAUACGUAGGGUGCGAGCGUUGUCCGGAAUUAUUGGGCGUAAAGGGCUUGUAGGUGGCUGGUUGCGUCUGUCGUGAAAGCUCAUGGCUUAACUGUGGGUUUGCGGUGGGUACGGGCUGGCUUGAGUGCAGUAGGGGAGGCUGGAAUUCCUGGUGUAGCGGUGGAAUGCGCAGAUAUCAGGAGGAAUACCGGUGGCGAAGGCGGGUCUCUGGGCUGUUACUGACACUGAGGAGCGAAAGCAUGGGGAGCGAACAGG
rnacentral:rRNA from 1 species